AAAAAGACAAACCCUGGGUUUCCGUGUCCAACUUUAAUUGUCCGUCUUAUAUGAAUUUUUUUUUAUAAUUCGUAUUUUUAUUGUUGUUAGAUGAUAAAACAUGAUUAAUAUUUUAUACGUGACUUGUCUUUUUAAUUUUUUUCAUAAUUUUUUUAAAUAAGACGGAGGGUCAAACGUUGGACACGGAAACCAGGGUU
rnacentral:pre_miRNA from 1 species